GGCAAGGUGGCCGAGUGGUCUAAGGCGCACGGUUCAGGUUUCAAUUUGAAGAACAACUUCCGUGUCAUUAAUUUGGCGUGGGUUCGAAUCCCACCCUUGUCA